rnacentral:rRNA from 1 species
GAUGAACGCUAGCGGCAGGCUUAACACAUGCAAGUCGAGGGGCAGCAUAUCCAGCAAUGGGUGAUGGCGACCGGCGGAAGGGUGCGUAACGCGUGAGCAACAUACCCGUAUCUGGGGGAUAAUCCAGGGAAACUUGGUCUAAUAUCCCAUAGCAAAUAUUUCAGGCAUCUGAGAAAUUUUUAAAGCUACGGUGGGAACGGAUUGGCUCGCGUGACAUUAGCUAGAUGGCAGGGUAACGGCCUACCAUGGCAAUGAUGUCUAGGGGUUCUGAGAGGAAGAUCCCCCACACUGGAACUGAGACACGGUCCAGACUCCUACGGGUGGCAG